AAGAAUCGGGCCUUUGACUUUGCUCAUGUCAGGACGAGGUUCUCCUCCUGUUCCUGACAUGGCUGUGGGGGCACAUUAGGGCGUUGUAAGGUCUCUCCCCCCAUCCGGUCUAAAAGAAUCGGAUCUUUGACUUUGCUCAUGUCAGGAUGAGGUUCUCCUCCUGUUCCUGACAUGGCUGUGGGGGCACAUUAGGGCGUUGUAAGGCCUCUCCCCCCAUCCGAUCUAAAAGAAUCGAGCCUUUGACUUUGCUCAAGUUAGGGCGAGGUUCUCCUCCUGUCCCUAACAGGGCUGUGGCAGAUGAAUCUGUCAAGUCGACCUCGUCGAAUGAGCUCCUCGAUCUCGUCCUGGAGCUGGAUGCAUUCCUCCGUGUCGUGGCCGUGGUCACGGUGGUAGAGGCAGAACUUGUUGGGGUUGCGCUUCCCGGGGUGUGUGCGCAUCCUCUCCGGCCUAGGGAGCUGCUCCCUGACCUCCAUUAAUACCUGGGCCUUCGAGGCGUUGAGGGGGGCGUAGCUGCGGAAUCUCCCUGGUGGGGAACCCCGCCGAACCCCACGGUCCGGGCUUCUCUGUCUGCGUACCCGGGGUGGAGUAUGGGCGCGCUUAUGCCCAGGAGGGGAUCGAGAAUGCGGCCGGACUUCCUUUGGCCUUUUCUCCACUGUGGGCUUACUCGAAUCUCCCGCU
rnacentral:lncRNA from 1 species